rnacentral:rRNA from 1 species
UACGGAGGAUGCGAGCGUUAUCCGGAUUUAUUGGGUUUAAAGGGUUCGUAGGCGGGCUUUUAAGUCAGCGGUAAAAAUUCGGGGCUCAACCCCGUCCGGCCGUUGAAACUGGGGGUCUUGAGUGGGCGAGAAGAAGGCGGAAUGCGUGGUGUAGCGGUGAAAUGCAUAGAUAUCACGCAGAACCCCGAUUGCGAAGGCAGCCUUCCGGCGCCCUACUGACGCUGAGGCACGAAAGUGCGGGGAUCGAACAGG